rnacentral:tRNA from 1 species
UUGACCUUAGCUCAGUUGGUAGAGUGGUAGACUGUAGUUGGACUAAUCUAAAUUGGAAAUCCUUAGGUCGCUGGUUUGAAUCCGACAGGUCGGA